CACAAUUGGCGCAAGCCUUGAUCCAGCCAUACCGCGUGGGUGAAGAAAGGCCUUCGGGUUGUAAUGCACUUUAAGUAAGGAAGAAAAGUAUAUUGUUAAUACCAAUGUACCGUGACAUUACUUACAGAAUAAGGACCGGCUAAUUCCGUGCCAGCAGCCGCGGUAAUACGGAAGGUCCAAGCGUUAAUCGGAAUUACUGGGCGUAAAGCGCGCGUAGGUGGUUUAUUAAGUUGGGUGUGAAAGCCCCGGGCUCAACCUGGGAACUGCAUCCAAAACUGAUUCACUAGAGUACGAAAGAGGGAGGUAGAAUUCACAGUGUAGCGGUGGAAUGCGUAGAUAUUGUGAAGAAUACCAAUGGCGAAGGCAGCCUCCUGGUUCUGUACUGACACUGAGGUGCGAAAGCGUGGGUAGCGAACAGGAUUAGAUACCCUGGUAGUCCACGCCGUAAACGAUGACAACCAGCUGUUGGGAAGCAAUGCUUUUCAGUGGCGCAGCUAACGUCUUAAGUUGUCCGCCUGGGGAGUACGGUCGCAAGAUUAAAACUCAAAUGAAUUGCCGGA
rnacentral:rRNA from 1 species